UUUAAUUGUGAGGAUAAAUGAAAACUUUUUUUUUGAUUCAGUGUUUAUUUUUUCUUACUGUUGUUUUUAGUAAUAAUUAUAGAAAUGAUGAUUUCAAUUGCAGAGAUGCGUGCGGACUGUACUCUGCUGGUGACCUCACAAUGGAAAAUCUGCAAGCUGAAUGCGAAGCAUUUAAACCCAAUACAACAUGCAAAAAGAAAGAACUUAUAUUGGAGAAACUUAAAAUAAAACAAAAAAAGAAAUCCGGAACAAGGAUUGUUGGAGGAAAUAUUGUAAAAUCACCUUUACCCUGGAUGGUAUUGCUAAAAUUUAUGAAUAUGGAUUGCGGUGGAUCACUCAUCAAUUCAAGAUUUGUCCUAUCAGCAGCCCACUGUACAUGUAUAGAAACAAACGCAGAAUUCUAUUGUUCAAGGUAU